rnacentral:rRNA from 1 species
UACGAAGGGGGCUAGCGUUGCUCGGAUUUACUGGGCGUAAAGGGCGCGUAGGCGGACAGUUUAGUCAGAGGUGAAAGCCCGGGGCUCAACCCCGGAAUUGCCUUUGAUACUGGUUGUCUUGAGUUUGGGAGAGGUAUGCGGAACUCCGAGUGUAGAGGUGAAAUUCGUAGAUAUGCGGAAGAACACCAGUGGCGAAGGCGGCAUACUGGCCCAAUACUGACGCUGAGGCGCGAAAGCGUGGGGAGCAAACAGG